UACGGAAGGCAGCAGUGGGGAAUAUUGCACAAUGGGCGAAAGCCUGAUGCAGCUAUGCCGCGUGUAUGAAGAAGGCCUUAGGGUUGUAAAGUACUUUCAUCGGGGAGGAAAAACAAAACUAAUAAUUUUAUUUCUUGACGUUACCCGAAAAAGAAGCACCGGCUAACUCCGUGCCAGCAGCCGCGGUAAUACGGAGGGUGCUAGCGUUAAUCAGAAUUAUUGGGCGUAAAGAGCACGUAGGUGGUUUUUUUAAGUCAGAUGUGAAAUCCCUGGGCUUAACCUAGGAACUGCAUUUUGAAACUGAAAUACUAGAGUAUCGUAGAGGGAGGUAGAAUUCUAGGUGUAGCGGUGAAAUGCGUAGAUAUCUGGAGGAAUACCUGUGGCGAAAGCGGCCUCCUAAACGAAUACUGACACUGAGGGUGCGAAAGCGUGGGGAGCAAACAGGGAUUAGAUACC
rnacentral:rRNA from 1 species